UUCCAGACUCCUACGGGAGGCAGCAGUGGGGAAUAUUGCACAAUGGGGGAAACCCUGAUGCAGCGACGCCGCGUGAGUGAAGAAGUAUUUCGGUAUGUAAAGCUCUAUCAGCAGGGAAGAAAAUGACGGUACCUGACUAAGAAGCCCCGGCUAACUACGUGCCAGCAGCCGCGGUAAUACGUAGGGGGCAAGCGUUAUCCGGAUUUACUGGGUGUAAAGGGGGCGCAGACGGCAGCGCAAGCCAGGAGUGAAAGCCCGGGGCCCAACCCCGGGACUGCUCUUGGAACUGCGCGGCUGGAGUGCAGGAGGGGCAGGCGGAAUUCCUGGUGUAGCGGUGAAAUGCGUAGAUAUUAGGAGGAACACCAGUGGCGAAGGCGGCCUACUGGACGGUGACUGACGCUGAGGCUCGAAAGCGUGGGGAGCAAACAGGAUUAGAUACCCUAGUA
rnacentral:rRNA from 1 species